rnacentral:tRNA from 1 species
AGACCCUUAGCUCACUCGGGAGAGCGCCUGUCUUACACACAGGAGGCAGCCGGAUCGAAACCGGCAGGGUCAACCA